AUGGUAGAUGGUACAAGUGCAGGGGCUUAUAUCCUAUUUUAUAAGGAAUAUCUGGACAUGCUCCAUACCACUGGACCAUUAGAAUCUUCGCCAAUGUAACAGGCCCUUGAACUUCUCCAAGGUUCAUCCCCUAUCCUUUGGCAUACAUAUAUCUUGGAUAUCAAAACAAUCAAGUAUUCUCUGGACUACGACAAUGAGCAGAAGAGUUGACAUGGCGCUGGGGCAACAGCAAAGAUUUAUUGACACGGAGGUCAUCGGUUGGCUAUCCUGUUGAGCACAAUUUCAGUGGAGUGUUGGUGAAGGAAGCCAAAUUGCUGAAUGAGAAGUAAGGGAAUGGAGAUUGCAAACGUACCUGUAAAGUACAUUUCCAGUAAAUUUGCCCAUAAAGAGGAACUGGAGAGUCACCUAGGGUGUAGGGAGGAUUUUUAUUUUUAAGAUGCCAGAGAGUUGAGCAUGUUUAAUUGCUGACGACAGAUGAGAGGGAUUGGAGCAUGGUUAAUGGCUGAUGAGAAAGAGAGAGGGAAGGAGAGAGAGAGGGGGAGAGCAAUCUACAAUUACUAGGUAGAUGCAAACAUUUGAAAAUCUAUUGACAUACAUUGCUCACACGCUUUUGAAAAGGAUUUUUAACCAACAGACACUCCCAGCAGCAAUGAUGAGAGCUCUUGUUUGGUGGCCACUUUGUCAUUAUUGUUAUAAAAACAAACAAACAAUGAACCUUUGCCAAAGAAUCUCAUUAUUGUUCUAAUUUGCUUUUCUUUGAUUACUAGUGAGUUGAAUGUUUUAGCCAGUUGUGUUCAUAUGUGUGAAUUUAGUCUUUUU
rnacentral:lncRNA from 1 species